CAUGUACUCCCUCCGUUCCAAAUUACUCGCCGCAGAAAUGGAUGUAUCUAGAACUAAAAUACAUCUAGAUACAUCCAUACCUGCGAUAAAGUAAUUCGGAACGGAGGGAGUAAUAC
rfam:Triticum aestivum genome assembly, contig: Triticum_aestivum_CS42_TGACv1_scaffold_020777_1AS